AUAUUUAAUAGAAAUUAUUAUUAAUAAAACCUGCUCAAUGAUAUUAAAUAGCCGCAGUUCAUACUGUGCUAAGGUAGCAUAAUCAUUUGUUUUUUAAUUAAAAACUAGAAUGAAAGGCCAUACAUUUCAAUUAUUAUCUUAAAUUCAUUAUUUAAAUUUAUUUCAAAUGUAAAAAAACAUUUAUAUAUUAAAAAGACGAUAAGACCCUAUUGAACUUAACUUCAGUUAAACUGGGGCAGUUUAACAAUUAUUAUUUUAAUAUAAAAUAUUUCCAUAAAUGAUCCUAUAAAAUAGAUUUCAUGAUCAAGUUACCAUAGGGAUAACAGCGUAAUAAUUUUCUAUAGAUCUUAUAUAAAAAAACGAUUGCGACCUCGAUGUUGAAUUAAUUUUCUAUUUUACGAAAAAAUUUCAAAAGAAAGUCUGUUCGACUUUUAAAUAAUUACAUG
rnacentral:rRNA from 1 species